rnacentral:lncRNA from 1 species
AAGCAUGACAAAUAUUAAUUAAACCAUAAGCACAAUGCAAGGAAGAGACAACAGAUAGAUAAUCAUAUACAUAGGCACCACAUAUGUGAAUGUGAUGUGAUUCCACGUAAACCAUAACUUGGUCUAGUAAUAUCAAAUACAUUAAUCAUAAUUCCUAGCAUCUUUAUAAAGCCCGUAAAACUAAUCCACCCAGCUAAAAUCACAACAAAACACCCAACCAACACACAAAAUUAACUUUCAUUUAUACUAAAAAUCAUCAUCAUCAAGUAAUCGUUUGUAGCCUUAAGUCCAAAUAUGCAAGUAACAGACCCUAUACUCUCACGCCCCAAUUGAUUAACUAUACCAGCGACAUAUAGAAUUUCAAAAUAAAAACAAUCAAUGGGAUACCAAUUACGAAGUUUAUAGAUCAAUUAAAAACUUGUAUAGCAUGCGUCCACCAUGAUUAAGGUGCUUCAAUUGUCUUCUUCAUCUCAAUCCAUCCAAGGCCACUUUCACCAAAUUUCAAUUUCUUGAAAAUCAGAAAAUCCCCUUUCAUUUUCUCCUAGUGAUUCUUCAUUUGUUUAUGAACAAACAACACAUUCAUUUGUGUGUGGGAGUCCUUGCUGAACAUUGGUCCCGCUUUCCUUGUUUAGCGUAGUCCCAACCCGAUUCUCCUUAACUACCUCACUGGCGCAUAGCUCAACAAAGAGUGUGUGAAUUUCUUCCGUCCACUUAAACGAUCCCGACAUCUACAAAUAUAUACAUAUAAACAUGUCCAGAAUUGAAGCUAGUUACAUAUAUAUGUUAGAAAUUCAUUACCGUUAACGGAUGAGAAGGAGAGCUAGAGGUUUAAAUCGAUUACCACCAGUGAUUUUGUUAAUUAAAAAGCAGCUACGAGAAGAAGAGAUAUGGGGGAAUAGCGCUGUUGUCACCGUUGAAAAAGAGAUCUGCUAGCUCGUUUUCUAUUAAAAAGAAGCAGAAGUUGAGUCUAAAAAGAAGCUACGUUACGUAGCUUUUUUUUCCGAGCUUCUAUUCGUUUAAUUAAGCGCUUCAUAACAUUUGCCAAAUGGACGUAUAAAAAGUGGAAUUGAGCUUCUACGCUUUUAAGCCCAUAAGUUAUAUUCCCAAACACCCACGAAGAUAUCUGUAGAAUUAUGCCUUAAUU